GACGAACGCUGGCGGCGUGCUUAACACAUGCAAGUCGUACGGUAAGGCCCUUUCGGGGGUACACGAGUGGCGAACGGGUGAGUAACACGUGAGUAACCUGCCCACAACUUUGGGAUAACGCUAGGAAACUGGUGCUAAUACUGGAUAUGUGCUCCUGCUGCAUGGUGGGGGUUGGAAAGCUCCGGCGGUUGUGGAUGGACUCGCGGCCUAUCAGCUUGUUGGUGGGGUAGUGGCCUACCAAGGCGGCGACGGGUAGCCGGACUGAGAGGGUGACCGGCCACAUUGGGACUGAGAUACGGCCCAGACUCCUACGGGAGGCAGCAGUGGGGAAUAUUGCACAAUGGGCGCAAGCCUGAUGCAGCAACGCCGCGGGCGGGAUGACGGCCUUCGGGUUGUAAACCGCUUUCAGCAGGGACGAAGCUUUUUGUGACGGUACCUGCAGAAGAAGCACCGGCUAACUACGUG
rnacentral:rRNA from 1 species